AUUGAACGCUGGCGGCAGGCCUAACACAUGCAAGUCGAGCGGCAGCGGGAAAGUAGCUUGCUACUUUUGCCGGCGAGCGGCGGACGGGUGAGUAAUGCCUGGGGAUCUGCCCAGUCGAGGGGGAUAACUACUGGAAACGGUAGCUAAUACCGCAUACGCCCUACGGGGGAAAGCAGGGGACCUUCGGGCCUUGCGCGAUUGGAUGAACCCAGGUGGGAUUAGCUAGUUGGUGAGGUAAUGGCUCACCAAGGCGACGAUCCCUAGCUGGUCUGAGAGGAUGAUCAGCCAAACUGGAACUGGGACACGGUCCAGACUCCUACGGGAGGCAGCAGUGGGGAAUAUUGCACAAUGGGGGAAACCCUGAUGCAGCCAUGCCGCGUGUGUGAAGAAGGCCUUCGGGUUGUAAAGCACUUUCAGCGAGGAGGAAAGGUUGGUAGCUAAUAACUGCCAGCUGUGACGUUACUCGCAGAAGAAGCACCGGCUAACUCCGUGCCAGCCGCCGCGGUAAGAC
rnacentral:rRNA from 1 species